GAUGAACGCUGGCGGCGUGCCUAAUACAUGCAAGUCGAGCGAACGGACGAGAAGCUUGCUUUUCUGAUGUUAGCGGCGGACGGGUGAGUAACACGUGGAUAACCUACCUAUAAGACUGGGAUAACUUCGGGAAACCGGAGCUAAUACCGGAUAAUAUUUUGAACCGCAUGGUUCAAAAGUGAAAGACGGUCUUGCUGUCACUUAUAGAUGGAUCCGCGCUGCAUUAGCUAGUUGGUAAGGUAACGGCUUACCAAGGCAACGAUGCGUAGCCGACCUGAGAGGGUGAUCGGCGACACUGGAACGGGGACACGGUCAAGACGCCUAAGGGAGGCAGCAGUAGGGAAUCUUCCGCAAUGGGCGAAAGCCUGACGGAGUAGCGGGGCGUGAGUGAUGGAGGUCUUCGGAUCGUAAAACUCUGUUAUUAGGGAAGAACAUAUGUGGAAGUAACUGUGCAGAGCUUGACGGUAACUAAUCAGAAAGCCACGGCUAACUACGUG
rnacentral:rRNA from 1 species